rnacentral:lncRNA from 1 species
GGGAGAUCUGGGCAUCUCUGUGCACUUUUGGAUCGGCCAUGUGGUAGAGAUUGAUGUAAUAGGAAGGAGACUCUAUGGCAAGCUCUGAUUGGUUGGUCUGCUAUAUCAGCUAUGGUCAAAUCUAAGGCAUAUCAAAGGAUAUCUGACUUAAAGAUUUAAGGAUGCAGUAGCCCAGGAGGCUUGGAUCUUGAAAGGGUGAUAAGAAGAGAGUUUUUUAAUAUGGUGUUCCUAUGGCUUCCUUGCUCUUGUUCUUUAUUAAAAGGGAUGAUCUUUUGCAUGCCUUUUUUCAAGGAAAAACAUUAUGUUGAAAUAUCCUUUUUAGUGCCUCAAUUUUUGAAGGUGUCAAGCUGGUGAGCAGAUAAGGGUACGUAAUUGCA